GCUCCUCGGAGCGUGAUUGGCUGAAAGCGCAGAGCGGGGCGGGCUGUGAUUGGUGCAGAGGGCGCGCGGCGCGGGGCGGCAGGCGAUGGCGGGGGGCGGCGGGGCGGAGGGCGAGGUCUGGCCCCGGCCUGGUCCCGAGAGCGGGCCGCAGCCGGCGGGGCGGGCAGCGGCCGUGUUCCCCUUCCAGUGGCUGUCACGGGCCUGCGACCUGAGCAGCGAUGGCGGGGUGCGCAAGGAGGAGCUGCGACCUGGCAGCGGGCAGGCCAUACCCCCGGGUGCCUCCUUGGCAGUGAAGUACUCCGGGUACCUGGAACACUGUGAUGAGCCCUUCUGCACAAACUGCUACAACAAGUCUCUUAGGCUGAUGAAACUUGGAAAAGAUAUUACGCUGCUGGGCCUGGAAAUUGGCCUGCUGACAAUGAAGAAGGGAGAGGUGGCAAGAUUUGUCUUCACGCCAGAUUAUGCCUACGGGCAGCAGGGCUGUCCUCCUCUUAUUCCCCCAAACGCCACAGUCAUGUUUGAAGUGGAGGUGCUGGAUUUCCUAGACUCGGAUGAAUCUGACGCAUUCUUUGAAUUGACUGCUGAGCAGCAGGAUACAUUUCCACUACAAAAGGUGUUGAAAGUGGCAGACACAGAGAGAGAGUUUGGCAACUACCUCUACCGUAAGCAGCAGUUCGAGGGUGCUAAAGAGAGAUACAAAAGGGCCUUCUCGAUCCUCGGUCGCAGCCCUUCCAGCGAGGCAGAGCAGUGUCAGAUUGAUACUUCCAAGUUGCUGGUGCUUCUGAAUCUCUCGCUUACUUACCUGAAACUGGAACGUCCUGCCCAAGCUUUGGCAUACGGGGAGAAGGCCUUGGAGAUUGACCAAAAAAACGCCAAAGCGCUGUUCAGGUGUGGCCAGGCUUGUCUGUGCAUGACAGAAUACAAAAAAGCACGGGAUUUCCUGGUCCGAGCUCAGCACAUACAGCCAUUUAACCACGAUAUUAACAAUGAGCUGAAAAAGUUGGCAAGCUGCUACAGGGACUACAUGGAAAAGGAGAAAGAAAUGUGCUGCCGAAUGUUUGCCCCUCUCAACUCGUCUUCUGGCUAACCAGAGAAAAAAGGACCUCACCAGCUGACAAAAAGAGUGGAUCUUGGACAGGAUGGAAACCUACCUCUGGGCACACGGAGAUCUUGGCAUCGUGUCUAUGUUUUGGGAAGAGGUGCAAGAGCACUGUUUUGUUUUGAGAGCGUGAAAUGGAGGUUCUGUGGUUAUACACAACCUAUUUUCUAGACUUUGGUUUGUUUGCCAUAUUCUGAGGCUGUUGCCGGAAGAACCAAGUCCUGCUGCAGAAGGGAAGAAGGUGUUCCCCCUCCCUUGCGUACUCUUUGAAGAAAACUUUCCUGACACCCUACUUCUUGCUUUUACAGGAUCUGUAAACGGGAGUAGGAUGCUGUGAAGUUCUGUAUUGUUUAUACAGAUUGUUCUGAUAACCUGCUUUUAUCGGAAGCUGAUACCUCUUCCCUACAAGCAACGGAGAACUUUGUGCUUCCUGACUGUGGGAUAAGAUAGUUCUGAAGACAUAAGCGGGGCCCGGUUUCCCAGCAGGAGAUGGCUGUGCCUUUCAUGGAGCCUCCUCAGGCUCUGCUCUGACGCGGGGCGUGCUGGCAUUUCUCUGACAGCCUUUAGGUGCUGGGGUUGAGCGAGCACAGGCAGCUGGAUCAGCUAAUGGAGACUUGGCGCAUCCGUGGCCAUUGAUGACCUUGCAAAGGCCGGAGUUUCUGCUCUCCAAGCUGCAGGGACGAAACUCAUUGGGGAAGGGCGUUGCACCCGCUCAAUCUGAAACAUAGAAAUACAUGUCAGUGGGAUGGCUCGCUGUGGCACAUUGUAAGCCUCUGGAAGGUCUGCUCCUGUCGUCCGCUGCCAGCGGUGCACGCUGCAGGAACAGCAACUGCCCUCCCCUCGGCUGUCGCCCAGUCCAGGCCAGUAACUUGUAUUUGACCUAGAGUCUGCCUCCAGGUUGAUGGCCAGUUUACUGCUGCGUGAGAGCCUUCCUGUGGUUAACUAGACUUUGAUGACGUGCGUUUUUCAAUUUUUUCUUACCAAAUAAUGGUGAAAAAUUACUUUCCUGAUUUUUUUUUUUUUUUUAAUUAAAGGAAGAAAUACAAACUUUCAGCCUCUGGGCAAAAUCAAAGAUGUGCUUGGAUCUUGACUAGGCAUUAAAACAGAAAUACAAGUCCUUGAGCAAAACAGACAAAAAUCUCUGCAGGGAACUUCGCUUUCUGAUUGUUAAUAAAAAAAAAAAAAAGUGGACCUUUGAG